UCUCCUCAGUUUGGGAUACCCCGGGAAACUGGGGAUAAUACCAAGUGUUUCAAGGUUGCUGGAAUGCUCUUUGAUUGAAAGCUUCGGUGCCUGAGGAUGAGUCUGCGGCCUAUCAGGUUGUAGUGGGUGUAAUGUACCUACUAGCCAGCGACGGGUACGGGUUGUGAGAGCAAGAGCCCGGAGAUGGAUUCUGAGACAUGAAUCCAGGCCCUACGGGGUGCAGCAGGCGCGAAACCUUUACAAUGCGCGAAAGCGCGAUAAGGAGACCCUGAGUGCUAGCACAUAGUGCUGGCUGUCCAGCUGUUUAAAAAGCAGUUGUUAGCAAGGGCCGGGCAAGACCGGUGCCAGCCGCCGCGGUAACACCGGCGGCCCGAGUGGUAACUGAUUUUAUUGGGCUUAAAGCGUUCGUAGCCGGUUUAGUAAGUUUCUUAGGAAAUCUAGCAGCUUAACUGUUAGACGUCUAAGAGAUACUGCUAUGACUUGGGACCGGGAGAGGUAGGAGGUACUCCAGGGGUAGGGGUGAAAUCUUGUAAUCCCUGGGGGACCAUCGAUGGCGAAGGCAUCCUACCAGAACGGGUUCGACGGUGAGGGACGAAAGCUGGGGGCACAAACCGGAUUAGAUACCCGGGUAGUCCCAGCUGUAAACGAUGCUCGCUAGGUGUCAGAUACGGUGCGUCCGUAUUUGGUGCCGUAGGGAAACCGUGAAGCGAGCCGCCUG
rnacentral:rRNA from 1 species